rnacentral:rRNA from 1 species
GGUUAAGCGACUAAGCGUACACGGUGGAUGCCCUGGCAGUCAGAGGCGAUGAAGGGCGUGCUAAUCUGCGAUAAGCGCCGGUAAGGUGAUAUGAACCGUUAUAACCGGCGAUACCCGAAUGGGGAAACCCAGUGUGACUCGUCACACUAUCAUUAACUGAAUCCAUAGGUUAAUGAGGCGAACCGGGGGAACUGAAACAUCUAAGUACCCCGAGGAAAAGAAAUCAACCGAGAUUCCCCCAGUAGCGGCGAGCGAACGGGGAGGAGCCCAGAGCCUGAAUCAGCAUGUGUGUUAGUGGAAGCGUCUGGAAAGGCGCGCGAUACAGGGUGACAGCCCCGUACACAAAAGCGCAUGUGCUGUGAGCUCGAUGAGUAGGGCGGGACACGUGGUAUCCUGUCUGAAUAUGGGGGGACCAUCCUCCAAGGCUAAAUACUCCUGACUGACCGAUAGUGAACCAGUACCGUGAGGGAAAGGCGAAAAGAACCCCGGCGAGGGGAGUGAAAAAGAACCUGAAACCGUGUACGUACAAGCAGUGGGAGCCCCACCACUAAGCCAGUGGUGAACUCCACAUACGCAUCCUUUGCUGAAGGCAAUGGUUAACGGAGCGAAAGCGACGUUCAACCGCAAAACAAGCAGAGGGGGCUUAGUGGUGGGGUGACUGCGUACCUUUUGUAUAAUGGGUCAGCGACUUAUAUUCUGUAGCAAGGUUAACCGUAUAGGGGAGCCGGAGGGAAACCGAGUCUUAAUUGGGCGUUAAGUUGCAGGGUAUAGACCCGAAACCCGGUGAUCUAGCCAUGGGCAGGUUGAAGGUUGGGUAACACUAACUGGAGGACCGAACCGACUAAUGUUGAAAAAUUAGCGGAUGACCUGUGGCUGGGGGUGAAAGGCCAAUCAAACCGGGAGAUAGCUGGUUCUCCCCGAAAGCUAUUUAGGUAGCGCCUCGUGAAUUCAUCUCCGGGGGUAGAGCACUGUUUCGGCUAGGGGGCCAUCCCGGCUUACCAACCCGAUGCAAACUGCGAAUACCGGAGAAUGUUAUCACGGGAGACACACGGCGGGUGCUAACGUCCGUCGUGAAGAGGGAAACAACCCAGACCGCCAGCUAAGGUCCCAAAGUCAUGGUUAAGUGGGAAACGAUGUGGGAAGGCCCAGACAGCCAGGAUGUUGGCUUAGAAGCAGCCAUCAUUUAAAGAAAGCGUAAUAGCUCACUGGUCGAGUCGGCCUGCGCGGAAGAUGUAACGGGGCUAAACCAUGCACCGAAGCUGCGGCAGCGACACUCAGGUGUUGUUGGGUAGGGGAGCGUUCUGUAAGCCUGUGAAGGUGUGUCGUGAGGCAUGCUGGAGGUAUCAGAAGUGCGAAUGCUGACAUAAGUAACGAUAAAGCGGGUGAAAAGCCCGCUCGCCGGAAGACCAAGGGUUCCUGUCCAACGUUAAUCGGGGCAGGGUGAGUCGACCCCUAAGGCGAGGCCGAAAGGCGUAGUCGAUGGGAAACGGGUUAAUAUUCCCGUACUUGGUGUUACUGCGAAGGGGGGACGGAGAAGGCUAUGUUGGCCGGGCGACGGUUGUCCCGGUUUAAGCGUGUAGGUGUGUGUUCCAGGUAAAUCCGGUUCACUUUAACACUGAGGCGUGAUGACGAGGCACUACGGUGCUGAAGCAACAAAUGCCCUGCUUCCAGGAAAAGCCUCUAAGCAUCAGGUAACAUCAAAUCGUACCCCAAACCGACACAGGUGGUCAGGUAGAGAAUACCAAGGCGCUUGAGAGAACUCGGGUGAAGGAACUAGGCAAAAUGGUGCCGUAACUUCGGGAGAAGGCACGCUGACACGUAGGUGAAGUGAUUUACUCAUGGAGCUGAAGUCAGUCGAAGAUACCAGCUGGCUGCAACUGUUUAUUAAAAACACAGCACUGUGCAAACACGAAAGUGGACGUAUACGGUGUGACGCCUGCCCGGUGCCGGAAGGUUAAUUGAUGGGGUCAGCGCAAGCGAAGCUCCUGAUCGAAGCCCCGGUAAACGGCGGCCGUAACUAUAACGGUCCUAAGGUAGCGAAAUUCCUUGUCGGGUAAGUUCCGACCUGCACGAAUGGCGUAAUGAUGGCCAGGCUGUCUCCACCCGAGACUCAGUGAAAUUGAACUCGCUGUGAAGAUGCAGUGUACCCGCGGCAAGACGGAAAGACCCCGUGAACCUUUACUAUAGCUUGACACUGAACAUUGAGCCUUGAUGUGUAGGAUAGGUGGGAGGCUUUGAAGCGUGGACGCCAGUCUGCGUGGAGCCGACCUUGAAAUACCACCCUUUAAUGUUUGAUGUUCUAACGUGGACCCGUAAUCCGGGUUGCGGACAGUGUCUGGUGGGUAGUUUGACUGGGGCGGUCUCCUCCUAAAGAGUAACGGAGGAGCACGAAGGUUGGCUAAUCCUGGUCGGACAUCAGGAGGUUAGUGCAAUGGCAUAAGCCAGCUUGACUGCGAGCGUGACGGCGCGAGCAGGUGCGAAAGCAGGUCAUAGUGAUCCGGUGGUUCUGAAUGGAAGGGCCAUCGCUCAACGGAUAAAAGGUACUCCGGGGAUAACAGGCUGAUACCGCCCAAGAGUUCAUAUCGACGGCGGUGUUUGGCACCUCGAUGUCGGCUCAUCACAUCCUGGGGCUGAAGUAGGUCCCAAGGGUAUGGCUGUUCGCCAUUUAAAGUGGUACGCGAGCUGGGUUAGAACGUCGUGAGACAGUUCGGUCCCUAUCUGCCGUGGGCGCUGGAGAACUGAGGGGGGCUGCUCCUAGUACGAGAGGACCGGAGUGGACGCAUCACUGGUGUUCGGGUUGUCAUGCCAAUGGCACUGCCCGGUAGCUAAAUGCGGAAGAGAUAAGUGCUGAAAGCAUCUAAGCACGAAACUUGCCCCGAGAUGAGUUCUCCCUGAGACUUAGAGUCUCCUGAAGGAACGUUGAAGACGACGACGUUGAUAGGCCGGGUGUGUAAGCGCAGCGAUGCGUUGAGCUAACCGGUACUAAUGAACCGUGAGGCUUAACCUU